rnacentral:lncRNA from 1 species
UCUAAAAUGCCCCUGGUGCAGGUUCCGAACCGACGGCCAACGCGGUGGCCAUUUGGCGCAUGGGGCAGGGAGAAAAGACGCGCCGUUGAGGAUAAUACUGUCAUUUCGACGUCUCAUGUGGACGCGUGCAUGGAUGAUGCGGGCUCAGCUCGAAGCCGACGGGCAUGUGCGCGGGCCCCACGAGUCGCGGCGAGUGCGCCUCCCCCGACCUCGUCACGUCCCAACUCCUGUUCCGAAUCCAAAUCACCCUCCGACGUGGUCCAAAUUUAGGCAGCUGGCCCUCCGCGAUCACCAUCACUGUGGCCAAAUCCCUCCUACGAUUAGUUCACGAAAUAACCAGCGAAAAAAAACAUAUUACGGCCUCUCAUCAAGUAGUGGAGCCGUUCCUGUUGCUAAUCAACGAUAUUAGUGGGAGGCCACACAGCUCAUGUCCUCAUCAGAACCACAAAA